UGUUCAGAAGCAAUAUUUUAUUUGCUUUUACACAAUCUCAAUGCUAUUAUUAACAUUGUGCAGUAAUUUUAUACAGCUCUCUGCAGCACGCAAAACACUUCUACUGAAGUUAUCUCAUGUGUGGGCGGCAUGAGGCAUGAAGAAGGUGUCUGAGAUGGGUUUCCUCCACCAUCCUCAGUACCACCCUAGGAUGUUUUAUCUCCCUGCUUUCCAUUUGUAAAACAACAAAGGAAGAAUGUGAGACACUUGCGGGAGCAGGUAGCUCCCCAAGAGUAAGCCCUGUCUCUAGAGUAAGACUUUAAAUAUGCUUCUGGAGCAUGACCGAAAACAGUAUCUCACCAGAAUAACACAAAUAAUGUGUGUGUCACAUGACAAGUCAUCAUUAGCAAAGGGAAAACAUUCUUGUUUCAUAAGCCAGCAUGGUGCAUAUUUGUACUUAAAUGGGACCCUCUUUGAGGAGCAGCUCAGAUCCUAAAAGUGAGAAUCCGCAUGACCAUUUCUCUAUGGUUUCCAUUACUAAACGCAUUAUUUAAUCGACAUCUUUAGAUCGAAAAUCACUCAAUUUGUAUGAUGUAUUUUACUCUUACUAUGCAUUAGGAUGGCAUCCUCUUAAUGACUUUAUAAAGUGUUGUUAAUAAUGAAAAAAGAUAGGCUAAGGAAAAAGCACCAUAAAAAGAGAAUUCGUUAUGACUGAAAUUAAUAACAGAGAAGUAAAAAUUGGGACAAAGGAUGACUCUGACAUUUCUUUCUUGGUAAGUGAUAGUAACAGAUCCCUCAAAAGGGUUGCACUGCAGACGCCUACGUGUGCAGAGGAAUGUGACUGUGAAAACGGCUUGUGAGGCUUCAGGCCAAAGUAGAGAGAGAUGCACAGGUGCACUCUGAGAAAAGAAAGGUUUGUCUUCUUGUUUUGAGGUCCUAGGAGAGUCUCAGAGCUGCAGUUGAAUGUUUCUUUCUGCUUUUAAGACAUUUGAAGCUGGGCAGGGGGCUCAUACCAGUCAUCCCAGCGCUUUGGGAGGCUGAGGUGGGAGGAUCACUUGAGGCCAGGAGUUUGAAAUCAGUGUGGGCAACAUAGUGAGAUUCCAUCUCUAUCAAAAAUAAUUUUAAAAAUUAGCUGGGUAUGGGCUGGGUGCAGUGGCUCAUACCCGUAAUCCCAGCACUUUGGGAGGCCGAGGCGGGCAGAUCACCUGAGGUCAGGAGUUCAAGACCAGCCUGGCCAACAUGGCAAAAACCUAAAUACUAAAAAUAUAAAAAAUUAGCCGGGUGUGGUGGCAGGCGCCUGUAAUCCUAGCUACUCGGGAGGCUGAGGCAUGAGAAUUGCUUGAACCUGGGAGGUAGAGAUAGUGUCACUGCACUCCAGCCUGGGUUACAAGAGCAACUCGGUCUCCAAAAAAAAAUUAUCUGGGCAUGAUGGAGUGUGCCUGUAGUCCCAGCUACUUGGGAGACUGAGGCAGGAGGAUCAUUUGAGUGGUGCAAUCUCGGGUCACUGCAGCCUUGACCUCCCUGGGCUCAAGUGAUCCUCUUGCCUCAGCGUCCUGAGUAGCUGGGACCACAGGUGCACACCGCCACACCUGGCUAAUUUUUGUAUUUUUGUAUAGAUGGGGCUGGCUAUGUUGCCCCCUCCUUUCCUCACUUUCUUCCUCAAAUGCACUUUGCCAUUAACAUGAAUGUCCAUCCUGAGGUUUCAGCAGAUCAGAAAAGUUUCCUCAAUACCUCGUCCAGCUAGACUCCGGAAAUGUGAAAUGAUAAAAUUAGGGAAAUAGAUAGCUUUGGAAAUGUGAAAUAAAAUUAGGGAAAUAGCUCCUAAACAGCAAUAUUUGAGUCCAUAAUAGAGGUGCACAGUGUGAACAGUGAGAGGAAGCAGAUCAAACAGCCCUGUUUCCCAACCUAAAACACCCAGGGAAGUGGUUUUCACAUGUUAAACAACAUACAAAGCACCUGGGAAGUGAUUUCCUGAGCCAAUCUCUGGAAAUUAAGAUUUAGUAAACUAGCAUGGAACCCAGGAAUCUGCAUUCUGACAAGAUCUCAAAAGUAAUUUUGAUGGAAAUUUCUAAAAUGGACCACAUUUUGGCAAAUGCUGAUGUAUGAAAUAACUGCCAUAGAGCCAUAAUAUCCAAAGUGGAGUACAGAUAUAAAAUAUAUAAUACAUAAUAUAAUAUUUCAACAUAUUAUAUGAACAUGCAGGUAAAUUAAGAAGCAUGACAGGCAAGGCGCGGCUCUCGCCUAUAAUUCUAGCCUGAGUGACAGAGCAAGAUCCUGUCUCUCUAAAACAAAACAAAACAAAACACCAACGUGAUAGGAUGAACACUGCGAAUGCUGCAUCCUAUCUGAAAACUAGAACAUGACCCAAUGUGUGGCGUCUCCCGUGGGGCUCUUUUCUCUAUCCCCUUCCCCAGACUCCUUUGCAGACACUUUCCUUAAUUUGUGUUUACUAUGCUCUUGCUUUUAGAAAUAUUAGUUUUGGCCAGGCACAGCGGCUCAUGCCUAUAACCCAACACUUUGAGGGGGCUGAGGCAGGAGGAUCACUUGAGCUCCACAGUUCAAGACCCGGCUGGGUAACACAGGGAGACCCCGUCUCUACAAAACAAAAACAAAA
rnacentral:lncRNA from 1 species